UUCCUCCUCCUUCCAAAAUCCCUGUCAUGUUUUCCAGAAGGAUUCGGCUUCUGGAAAACAUGACAGGGGGUUGAAAAAGGAGGAGGAG